rnacentral:rRNA from 1 species
GACGAACGCUGGCGGCGUGCUUAACACAUGCAAGUCGAACGGAAAGGCCCUGCUUUUGUGGGGUGCUCGAGUGGCGAACGGGUGAGUAACACGUGAGUAACCUGCCCUUGACUUUGGGAUAAGUUCAGGAAACUGGGGCUAAUACCGGAUACGAGCUCCUGCUGCAUGGUGGGGGUUGGAAAGGUUCGGCGGUUGGGGAUGGACUCGCGGCUUAUCAGCUUGUUGGUGGGGUAGUGGCUUACCAAGGCUUUGACGGGUAGCCGGCCUGAGAGGGUGACCGGCCACAUUGGGACUGAGAUACGGCCCAGACUCCUACGGGAGGCAGCAGUGGGGAAUAUUGCACAAUGGGCGGAAGCCUGAUGCAGCAACGCCGCGUGCGGGAUGACGGCCUUCGGGUUGUAAACCGCUUUCGCCUGUGACGAAGCGUGAGUGACGGUAAUGGGUAAAGAAGCACCGGCUAACUACGUG